UUUCCAUAUUUCCAUGUUUAUAGCCCUGUGACUUUAACACUUCAUGACUGAGAGCUGCUGCUCAGCGACUUCACCCACAGAAACCAUGAGUUUGAUCAGCGUCUUCAUCUGCACACUGCUCCUCUGUGCUCAAGGAUCCCAAAGUCAGGCCGUUGUGACUCAGAGUCCUGCAGUGAAAUCUGUUUCUCCAGGAGACACAAUCACCAUCAGCUGUAAAACUAAUCUUGCUGUUGAUAAUGACUGUGCUGGUAGUUAUGACUGUUUGUACUGGUUUCAGCAGAAACAUGGAGAAGCUCCUAAACGGCUGAUCUAUUGGGCUAGUACUAGAGCAUCAGGUAUUCCAGAUCGAUUCAGUGGCAGUGGAUCUGGAACUGAUUUCACUCUGACCAUCAGUGGAGUCCAGACUGAAGAUACUGGAGAUUAUUACUGUCUAACUGAUCAUUACAACACAUUCAAAACUUCUUCGUUAACACAGUGUUAG